AGAGUUUGAUUAUGGCUCAGGAUGAAGCUAGCUACAGGCUUAACACAUGCAAGUCGAGGGGCAGCAGAUCGAUAGCUUGCUAUUGAUGCUGGCGACCGGCGCACGGGUGAGUAACGCGUAUCCAACCUUCCCUAUAGUAGAGGAUAGCCCGGCGAAAGUCGGAUUAAUACUCUAUGUUGAUUUUAGAGGGACAUCUGAAGAAUACCAAAGGUUCACCGCUAUAGGGAUGGGGAUGCGUCUGAUUAGGUAGUCGGCGGGGUAACGGCCCACCGAGCCAACGAUCAGUAGGGGUUCUGAGAGGAAGGUCCCCCACAUUGGAACUGAGACACGGUCCAAACUCCUACGGGAGGCAGCAGUGAGGAAUAUUGGUCAAUGGGCGAGAGCCUGAACCAGCCAAGUAAGCGUGCAGGAUGACGGCCCUAUGGGUUGUAAACUGCUUUUAUACGGGGAUAAAGUGAGGGACGUGUCUCUUUUUGUAGGUACCGUAUGAAUAAGGACCGGCUAAUUCCGUGCCAGCAGCCGC
rnacentral:rRNA from 1 species